GCUGGUGUGGCUCAGGGGUAGAGCAAUUGAUUCGUAAUCAAUAGGUCGUGGGUCCGAUUCCCACCACCAGCUCCA
rnacentral:tRNA from 1 species